ACGAGCGCUGGCGGCGUGCCUAAUACAUGCAAGUAGAACGCACAGUUUAUACCGUAGCUUGCUACACCAUAGACUGUGAGUUGCGAACGGGUGAGUAACGCGUAGGUAACCUGCCUGGUAGCGGGGGAUAACUAUUGGAAACGAUAGCUAAUACCGCAUAAUAUUAAUUAUUGCAUGAUAAUUAAUUGAAAGGUGCAAUUGCACCACUACCAGAUGGACCUGCGUUGUAUUAGCUAGUAGGUGAGGUAACGGCUCACCUAGGCGACGAUACAUAGCCGACCUGAGAGGGUGAUCGGCCACACUGGGACUGAGACACGGCCCAGACUCCUACGGGAGGCAGCAGUAGGGAAUCUUCGGCAAUGGACGAAAGUCUGACCGAGCAACGCCGCGUGAGUGAAGAAGGUUUUCGGAUCGUAAAGCUCUGUUGUAAGAGAAGAACGGGUGUGAGAGUGGAAAGUUCACACUGUGACGGUAUCUUACCAGAAAGGGACGGCUAACUACGUG
rnacentral:rRNA from 1 species